GAGUUUGAUCCUGGCUCAGAUUGAACGCUGGCGGCAUGCCUUACACAUGCAAGUCGAGCGGCAGCGCGGGGGCAACCCUGGCGGCGAGCGGCGAACGGGUGAGUAAUGCAUCGGAACGUGUCCUCUUGUGGGGGAUAACCAGUCGAAAGACUGGCUAAUACCGCAUGAGAUCGAGAGAUGAAAGCAGGGGACCGCAAGGCCUUGCGCGAGAGGAGCGGCCGAUGCCGGAUUAGCUAGUUGGUGGGGUAAAAGCCUACCAAGGCGACGAUCCGUAGCUGGUCUGAGAGGACGACCAGCCACACUGGGACUGAGACACGGCCCAGACUCCUACGGGAGGCAGCAGUGGGGAAUUUUGGACAAUGGGGGAAACCCUGACCCAGCCAUGCCGCGUGUGUGAAGAAGGCCUCGGUUGUAAG
rnacentral:rRNA from 1 species